AACGCAUAUUGCGCCCUUUGGUAUUCCGAAGGGCAUGCCUGUUCGAGCGUCAUUAUCACCCCUCAAGCCCGGCUUGCUGUUGGACCCUGUCGGUGUCACCCGCACACCGGCUGGUCUCAAAGAUAAUGACGGCGUCUGCUUGAGGACACCAGUACACUGAGCUUUCGGGCACGUACUCGGUUUUGAAGGACUCCAGACCCGGUCACUUAUAAACACUUUUUAUCAAGGUUGACCUCGGAUCAGGUAGGAAUACCCGCUGAACUUAA
rnacentral:misc_RNA from 1 species